UUUAAGCAAAAAAUAGCCCGAGGAGACUGAGGACCGGGACCACUAGACCACCCUCCAACCGCCAUUUAUGACCAAAAGAGGGAGCCAGCUUCGAGUCUUCACGCUCUAGAUUUGUAAUGUAAUCCACAAAAGAAACAGUUUGGCUUAAUGGAAAGAGCAUUGGAUUUGGAUGCCCUGAAUUCUUGCUAAAGGAAGUCAUUUGCAAGGGUUUGCCUUUUGAACUCAGGUUCUGACUUCAAAUCCAGUGGAUUUUCUACUUCACAUAAAUCCUACUAGUAUAUAGUGAAAUAGAAGACAUGGCUUGAGGUCAAAAAGGUCAAAAUAAUUCAUAUGAAAAUCAUGAUCUAAUUAAAUAAACAAAAUGCAAAUCAUGUAUUCCACAUCUUUCUUUGAUUUUUAAGCAGUUCAACAUUUAUAAAGUGUUUCCUCUGUGUAGAACAGUGUGCUGGGUA